AGAGUUUGAUCCUGGCUCAGAAUCAACGCUGGCGGCGUGCCUAACACAUGCAAGUCGAACGAGAAAGUGGUAGCAAUACCAUGAGUAAAGUGGCGCACGGGUGAGUAACACGUGACUAACCUACCCUGGAGUGGGGGAUAACUGAGGGAAACCUUAGCUAAUACCGCAUAAUACCCACGGGUCAAAGGAGCAAUUCGCUCUGGGAGGGGGUCGCGGCCGAUUAGUUAGUUGGCGGGGUAACGGCCCACCAAGACGAUGAUCGGUAUCCGGCCUGAGAGGGCGCACGGACACACUGGAACUGAAACACGGUCCAGACUCCUACGGGAGGCAGCAGUGGGGAAUUUUGCGCAAUGGGGGAAACCCUGACGCAGCAACGCCGCGUGGAGGAUGAAGUCCUUCGGGACGUAAACUCCUUUCGAUCGGGACGAUAAUGACGGUACCGGAAGAAGAAGCCCCGGCUAACUUCGUGCCAGCAGCCGCGGUAAUACGAGGGGGGCGAGCGUUGUUCGGAAUUAUUGGGCGUAAAGGGUGCGUAGGCGGCUUGGUAAGUCUUAUGUGAAAUCUAUGGGCUCAACUCAUAGACUGCAUGAGAAACUGCCGGGCUCGAGUGUGGGAGAGGUGAGUGGAAUUUCCGGUGUAGCGGUGAAAUGCGUAGAUAUCGGAAGGAACACCUGUGGCGAAAGCGGCUCACUGGACCACAACUGACGCUGAUGCACGAAAGCUAGGGGAGCAAACAGGAUUAGAUACCCUGGUAGUCCUAGCCCUAAACGAUGACUGCUUGGUGUGACGGGUACCCAAUCCCGCCGUGCCGUAGCUAACGCGUUAAGCAGUCCGCCUGGGGAGUACGGUCGCAAGGCUGAAACUCAAAGGAUUUGACGGGGGCCCGCACAAGCGGUGGAGCAUGUGGUUCAUUUCGACGCAACGCGAAGAACCUUACCUGGCUCGAAAUGUAGUGGACCGGAGUAGAAUAUUCCUUCUCAGCAAUG
rnacentral:rRNA from 1 species